CCCCCCUCUCUCUCUCUCUCUCUCUCUCUCUCAGAAAGACAGUAUGAGCAAAGUAAAGAAAAUCAGUCAACUCACGCUCACUGGACGAUCCCACCAUCAAAUCUUAAACCCUAGGCUUGCAAAAAUCGCAUAAGUGAUGGAAGACGAAGAGGAACAUGGGUCCACUAAUUUCAUCGGAUCUUGUCCAGAAAUCGAGGGUCAAAGAAGCAUGUCAACUUACAAGCUGAUAUCAUGGUUUCAUGUGUCCUCGAGUCCCCAUGGAUGAUAGUUAUUACUCGAAGGUUGUCGCCAUUCUUCCAAAGACAUGAGUAGGACCAUUUGGACUAUGCUGGGGCCUAAAUUGUGCAUUCAAUACACAAGUACGUACCACGAAGCUGCCAUAAUUGAAAUUGACUUUCUGCCAAAAACUUGUGAGGCAUGAUAUUGGUGGUACACGAUAGAGAUCUGCUUUCUAUAUGUUCUCUCUGUUUGCUGUUUUAGUUUGAAGUAUUGUGUACAUGUUUCAUAUUUUGUAUUUGUGUUCAAAUACAGCAUUGGAUUGACUUGUAUUGUAAGUAUUUAUUGGUACUUGUGGUUGGAUUA